rnacentral:antisense_RNA from 1 species
CCCCCGGGCCGGCCAGGAGAUCCGUGUCACCGGCGUAGUCGCCGCCCGCAAGGACACCCAGGUCGGCGUCCUCGUCGUACUUGCCCGGACGGACCUUGCGCAGCUUGCCGUGGGCGACGAGGACCAGCCGGUCGGCGGGGGCGCCGAUCUCGGCCGGCAUGUCCCCGGGGGAGAAGUCGCGCUGUUCGAAGCGGUCCGCGAGCGCCUGGAGCACCUGCCUGUCGGAGUAUCCGCGCAGCAGUGGGAGUUCGGUGAGUUCGGCGGGGAUCACGCGGAUCUCGGACCCGGUGGAGACGAACUCCACCCGGCCGUCGCCGAGAGUGUGGACGAGUCGCCGGUUCACCCGGAACGUGCCCCCGGAAACCUCGACCCAGGGAAGCACACGCAGCAGCCAGCGGGAGGUGAUUCCCUGCAUCUGCGGAGGGGUCUUGGUAGUGGUCGCCAGAUUUCGCGCGGCUGCGGUGCCAAGACUCGACAA